AUUGAACGCUGGCGGCACGCCUAACACAUGCAAGUCGAGCGGUUGAAGGGAGCUUGCUCCUGGCUUCAGCGGCGGACGGUUGAGCAAUGCCUAGGAAUCUGCCUGGUAGUGGGGGCUAACGUCCGGACACGGGCGCUACUACCGUAUACGUCCUCAGGGCGCAAGUGGGGGAUCUUCGGCCCUCCCGCUAUCACAUGAGCCUAGGUCGGAUUAGCUAGUUGGUGGGGUAAAGGCCUACCAAGGCGACGAUCCGUAACUGGUAUGAGAGGAUGAUCAGUCACACUGGAACUGAGACGCGGUCCAGACUCCUACGGGAGGCAGCGGUGGAGAAAAUUGGACAAUGGGAGAAGGCCUGAUCCAGCCAUGUCGCGUGGGUGAAGAAGGUCUUAGGAUGGUAAAACACGUUUAGUUGGGAGGAAGGGCAGUAAGUUAAUACCUUGCUGUUUUGACGUUACCAACAGAAUAAGCACCGGCUAACUUCGUG
rnacentral:rRNA from 1 species